GCCGGGGACAGUGGCGGAAGGGCGAGGAAUACGAUCGAACGUGCCCCGAGGUGGGGGAUAGCCGCGGGAAACUGCGGGUAAUACCCCAUGUGCUCUUCGGAGGAAAGGUUUACCGCCUUGGGAGCGGCGAUCGUCCUAUCAGGUAGUUGGCGGGGUAACGGCCCACCAAGCCGAAGACGGGUAGCGGGUGUGAGAGCACGACCCGCCGCAUCGGGACUGAGACACUGCCCGGACUCCUACGGGAGGCUGCAGCGACGAAUCUUCCGCAAUGGGCGCAAGCCUGACGGAGCAAUGCCGCGUGCGGGAUGAAGCGGCUUCGCCGUGUAAACCGCUGUCAGGUCCCAGGAACACUGACCGGGACCAGAGGAAGGGCCGGCUAACCUCGUGCCAGCAGCCGCGGUAAUACGAGGGGCCCGAGCGUUAAUCGGAAUCACUGGGCUUAAAGGGUGCGCAGGCUGGCCCGAAAGCGUCUUGUGAAAGCCCCCGGCUCAACCGGGGAACAGCGGGGCGAACUUCGGGUCUUGAGGCAGGUAGGGGCGGAUGGAACUGYCGGUGGAGCGGUGGAAUGCGUAGAUAUCGACAGGAACGCCGAUGGCGAAAGGCAGUCCGCUGGGCCUGUCCUGACGCUCAGGCACGAAAGCGUGGGGAGCAAACAGGAUUAGAUACCCUGGUAGUCCCCGCCGUAA
rnacentral:rRNA from 1 species